AUUGAACGCUGGCGGUAGGCCUAACACAUGCAAGUCGAACGGCAGCACGGACUUCGGUCUGGUGGCGAGUGGCGGACGGGUGAGGAAUACAUAGGAAUCUGCCCAGUCGUGGGGGAUAACGUAGGGAAACUUACGCUAAUACCGCAUACGACGGAGACGUGAAAGCAGGGGAUCUUCGGACCUUGCGCGAUUGGAUGAGCCUAUGUCGGAUUAGCUAGUUGGCGGGGUAAAGGCCCACCAAGGCGACGAUCCGUAGCUGGUCUGAGAGGAUGAUCAGCCACACUGGAACUGAGACACGGUCCAGACUCCUACGGGAGGCAGCAGUGGGGAAUAUUGGACAAUGGGCGCAAGCCUGAUCCAGCCAUACCGCGUGGGUGAAGAAGGCCUUCGGGUUGUAAAGCCCUUUUGUACGGAAAGAAAGCUUCCAGGUUAAUACCCUGGGAGGAUGACGGUACCGUAAGAAUAAGCACCGGCUAACUUCGUG
rnacentral:rRNA from 1 species